rnacentral:rRNA from 1 species
AUUGAACGCUGGCGGCAUGCCUAACACAUGCAAGUCGAGCGAGCGGCGGACGGGUGAGUAAUGUAUGGGGACCUGCUCGAUAGCGGGGGAUAACUACUGGAAACGGUGGUUAAUACCGCAUACCUUCGGAUGAUCCCUGAUGGCAUUCGCGAGUAGGUGGGGUAAAGGCUCACCAAGGCAACGAUCUCUAGCUGGUCUGAGAGGAUGAUCGGCCACACUGGGACUGAGACACGGUCCAGACUCCUACGGGAGGCAGCAGUAGGGAAUAUUGCACAAUGGGCGCAAGCCUGAUGCAGCCAUGCCGCGUGUAUGAAGAAGGCCUUAGGGUUGUAAAGUACUUUCAGCGGGGAGGCGUUACCCGCAGAAGAAGCACCGGCUAACUCCGUGCCAGCAGCCGCGGUAAUUC